AUACUAAAGCAGCACAUAUACUAAAACCUGAACUAUCUGGAGAUGAUUAGCAGGGCCCCUGGGCGAGAAAGACACACAAAUUCAUGAAGCACUCCCUAUUAAA
ensembl:snRNA U6 U6 spliceosomal RNA